rnacentral:rRNA from 1 species
UACGGAAGGCAGCAGUGGGGAAUAUUGCACAAUGGGCGAAAGCCUGAUGCAGCUAUGCCGCGUGUAUGAAGAAGGCCUUAGGGUUGUAAAGUACUUUCAUCGGGGAGGAAAAAACAAAACUAAUAAUUUUAUUUCUUGACGUUACCCGAAAAAGAAGCACCGGCUAACUUCGUGCCAGCAGCCGCGGUAAUACGGAGGGUGCUAGCGUUAAUCAGAAUUACUGGGCGUAAAGAGCACGUAGGUGGUUUUUUAAGUCAGAUGUGAAAUCCCUGGGCUUAACCUAGGAACUGCAUUUUGAAACUGAAAUACUAGAGUAUCGUAGAGGGAGGUAGAAUUCUAGGUGUAGCGGUGAAAUGCGUAGAUAUCUGGAGGAAUACCUGUGGCGAAAGCGGCCUCCUAAACGAAUACUGACACUGAGGUGCGAAAGCGUGGGGAGCAAACAGGGAUUAGAUACC